rnacentral:tRNA from 1 species
GCCCGGGUGGCGGAAAGGCAGACGCAGGGGACUUAAAAUCCCCUUCCGCAUAGCGGAGUGAGGGUUCAAUUCCCUCCCCGGGCACCA